rnacentral:lncRNA from 1 species
GCACUUUUGGGAUAGCAAUGGAAAUGAAAAAUGUAAAUGAAGAAAAUACCUAAUAAAUUAAAAAAUGAAUCAUACAUAUCUCAUUCAUAUAUAUAUAUAUACACACACAUAUAUAUAUAUAUAUAUUUGGUUGAAACUUUACCAUGGACAGAUGGACCAGUGUGGGUUUCUCUUUUCCUGAUGUUGAGCGGAAUAUAAAAUAUUUGUGAGAGAAGACAAGCUGGUUUCAGUGGAACAGUAAGGGCUGUUCACAUAGCUAAGGAUGCAUUAGUGUCACAUAGCUAAGUUCACAGAGCUAAGGAUGCAUUAGUGUCACAUAGCUAAGUUCACAGAGCUAAGGAUGCAUUAGUGUCACAUAGCUAAGUUCACAUAGCUAAGCAUGCAUUAGUGUCACCUUGCUGUGUUUCCAAAAUGACCCAGCUUGCUUGAUCUGAGUCUCCCUGAAACUCAGCAUCCCUCUGUAUGAACCACACAUAUAAGCAGUAACAUUCCUUAAGGAAGAGAGGGGAGGGGUCAUUAUUUCAGGAACGGUGUGCUUCUUCUCUGUGCCUCUCUGUGUUAUAUACAUUGUUGAAGUCAGGAGAAGAAAAUGACAAUGAUUGAUAUUUCAGUUCUUUGAAGAAUAUCAAAUAAAUGGCUGCCCAAUCCUUUGGACACAACAAAAUAAGACAAGCCAAAAUACCUUAUCUCUCCGUUCUGCUUCCCAACAUGUGUACCCCAAAGAAGCCAUUACAUUAUUUUCCUGUGACUUAACUGUCCCAAUAAGAUAGCUCACCAAGAGAAUGAAUAUUGUUUGGGGGAAAGUCAAUAUUAUGUUUAUGGCAUGAAUAAGGUGACUCUUACCAUCAGCUGCAAUGUACAGCUUCGAGAACAAUCAGAUCAACAGCUCUGAGAAACAGGGCUUAAGACUUCUUCCCAAAUGAAAAGGCAUUCACAGUCCUCAGAUGAGAGGGCGUUCUGAAGUUAGACAUCUCCCCGAAUGCAUGAUUUUGCCUAAACCUCACACUGUCACCAAAGCCUUUAGAUAGAUGCUAUCACUCUUCCUAGAUAGAAGCUAAACCAAGAGAUAAGUAUGGACUUUGGAGCAGAGUGGUGGAGCUGCAUGCUCAUGCCGUAACGUCUGUCCUGGAAGCACUCAGCUGUGCAAUGGUCAUGCCUUGAGUUUCUACUAAUGACGUCUGGAAUUCUGAGGUUUCCAGUAGUGGGUAGGAGAGAAGACUCGGGCCUUCUAGAGGCUCCGUUUUAGAAUGGAAAUAAGUCACACAAAGGCAGUGAUGAAACACGCCAGCAUUGGCAGUUAGCAGCUCCUGAAAAGGGAGGAGGCCCGGUGAAUGAAUCAAGAAAUAAAAAAGGGAAGAGACAUGACUGGUCCCAGGUAUCGUGAAGGAGGAAGUUUAGUAUAGAAAUGUGGAAGAGCAUAGCCAGAGGCAGGGACAUCUGAGGGAGUCCAGAAUUAGCUGGGCCAUGCAAGGAGACAGGGGAGGGGAAAGGAGGAGGGAGAGAAGAGAAUUGGGUUCAGCAGCCAGGAGAUUCAAAAGAGAAUAGACAUAAAGAACAAGGUAGGCAAUGGGGUUGGAUUAUAUAGGGAAUGGCAGCUGGGAGAAGGGACAGCCCAGCCCCUGGGCUAAAGAAGUCAAGGGUAGGAGUGAGGUAUGCUAUCGAAGAGCACCUUGUAACAGGUAGGGACUGAGAGAUGCAGGGAGAGCCUCGGCAACAAGUUCACUUUCUCCUCUUAAAUAGGCACCUCAGCCUUUUGUCUGUGAUUAAAACCAAACACCUGGAAAUGGGGGGUGCCAGUUGCAGAGGCUGGAGGCUUCAUCAGCUGCCUCUGAGCUUCUAGAAAUCCCUCUCGAAAUGUCCUCUCAGGGAAUUCUACUGUACAAGCGCCUGAGGAAAACCUUUCCUGCAUCUCUUAGUGCUUAUUGUCCUCUCACCUUUGUGUUCUGUCUCGAACUGUUCUUCCUCAUCCUAUGUUCAGAAAGAAACACCUUCUCUUUUCAUCAUGAGCAAGUCUCCACCACAAGUACAAGGCCAAGGCCAUCUUAGGCUAACAGUGCACUACAACAACUGUUCUUUGUGACAAAGCUGUAUGCUGAGCCCAUCCCUUUCUGACAAGUGUACUAUUCUACACAGUACAUUUUAUCCUUGUCUUUAUAACCAAGAAAAAGGUCAUUAUGAGUUCAGAUACUCAUCUUAAGAUUUAUCAAAUUAUCAGAAUGAAAUCUUUAAAAAGUUAAUCACACUGGUUUGUUGAAAUGGUGUAGCCAUAUUUUUGUUUGAGGGGGUAUUUAAUAUUCUUGUAAGCACGAUAAUGACAAGUUGAAUAGUAAAGUAAGAAACCAAGAAUGGGGUGGGGUGAUCUGGACUGAGAUUUCCGUGUAAGUCUUGAUAUACUGGUAUUUGAGGUUGCCUACGGGCUUAUUUGUGUCACAGUAAAAACAUGAAAGAGCCUACUAUCUUCAUUCUGUCCAUGGGUAGUGCUGCCUGUUGUCUGUCUGCCCUGUGUGUUCUCUCGUUUUCUUCUUCAGUUAUUAGGACUGUCUACUUUGAUAAGGUUCACUUCUUCCAUCUGCCUCAGGCUGUUCAUGAGCAAGUCCUAUCACUAACCUUCUGCACAGUGUCCUAUCCCCUUAACCUCUGAUUGUCCAUAGGUUCAUGUCUGGCACAAAAAAGCAGGAUUAGUAGAAGCCAUUUUGGUCUAUACCCAGCAUAUAAACAGACAUGGAGGUAGUUCUUAUUGGCCACAAGAUGCUAAGCUGGAAAAUGAUAAAUCAGGAAAGACGUGAGACACACCCCAAAUUGUGAGGAGCUACCAUGGCUCCAGUGAGAGAAAAAGAAGCAGCAGCAGAAACAGACAGAUGGAAAGAGGCAGAGAACCUGGCUCCAGGGUCCUGGCUGCUCUCCCUAAGUACCUCAUUGUUACUUUUUAGAUUGUAUAAUUCAAAACUCUUUCCUAGUAAUGAGAGCUCAAACAUUCCUUCUUUUAACUACCAGAUCUGUCAUCUACAACAGAAAGAAACCUGGUUAACACAUCCUUCACUAUCAAAAAAGCAUCAGAAUGCCAACUUCACAAGGAAAUAAUUUCAUUUCCUAAAAUUAAUGUAGAAAGCAUUUUCUCCUCUGGAGUUUAAUAGGGCUUACUGAGUGAUGUCAUAGGCAGGGCCAUCAGCAUGCGGUUACAGGAAAUGCAGAAGUGAUUUUCAUGUGGUGGUUUCUAGCAUAAACCUUGAAUCAAAGCCAAGGGCAUAACAUUAAAGCAUAAUUGAGCUGAAACAAUUCUUCAAGGUUUUGCCCAUAUCAUAUUGAGUGUCCAACAUUCUAGUGGUCUAAUUUCACCCAAGGGAGCUUCAAGGAAUAGAGAGAUACUUUAUUAUCCCUGAGUCCCUUCUUGCCCAUUUAUCUAAACUUCUGGUAAAGGCUGGUUAACAAAUAUUUAGAUAUUUUCAUUUCUAACGUGACUGACAUUUUUAGAUAAAUGAGUAAGAAAUGGAUCUUAAAGUACUUUGGGCACAGUGU